UUGCUUCAUCAGCACAUAUGCCAAAAUUGGAACAAUACAGAGAGAAUGAGAAUGGCUCGUGCAGAAAUGACAUGCAAAUUUGUGAAAUGUUAAAAAAAAAA
ensembl:snRNA U6 U6 spliceosomal RNA